GCUGGGUGUGGUGGCGCACACCUGUAAUCCCUGCAUCUCUGGAAGCUGAAGUAGGAGGAUUGCAAGUUCAUAGACAGUCUCAGCAAUUUAGAGAGGCCAUAAGCUACUCAGGGAGACCCUGUCUCUA
rnacentral:sRNA from 1 species